UUUACCUACAAGUAGAAUAUGACAGUAAAAAUUACACCGAGGUCUCUACCACUCAGUCUGCAUUCAAUCUUUAAUCUGCAUUCAAAUUCUGCAUUCAAACCUUUAAUCUCCGCGCUUACAUUCUCUGAUUGAUAUCAAGUCCUACACAGUCCUCAUCGUACUCAAGAUUAUUGAGCUCAGUUACUAUGGAGUCACCACCGAAGACAGAAGCUCUCAUUAAAGAUGUAUGAGAACUAUCAGCUAUAUUUUAAAGUCUGAAAGUAAGAUGGAGUAAAUAUUGCCUUUCAAGAAAAUAAUAUUCCAAAGGUAGCAACUGUGGAAGGCUAUUUAAGUAUGUUCUACUCAGUGAUAAAUCAGCAUUCUUACCUGGAUUACCUGAUCUGCAAAUUUAACUCAAGUCUGAGUUUUUACUUUCUCCUCUAAGAGUCAUGCGGCGCCCUGAGUUGCAACUAAUUAAACUCUAAGCAAUUCUGCUGAUCACCCUCUCCAGUACAGCCACCACGUGAGCCCAUUAACUGCAACCAAUUAUCACGGUGAAGACAAGGCCCAAGUAGAGUUGGUGCAGGAAGAGAAAGAAAGACAACUAUUCCUUCAUUUUUCCUGUCUUCUGCUCUCCUCCCACUUGAAGGGCCAUAACAUUCAACACCUUUUUAACAAAAAUCUUAUUUCAACCUUGAAUACGAAAAGUACUAUAUUUAAAAUAAACAAAGCAACAGAACUUAAACUGAUCUGCCUUAAGUGAACAAACUACUUCAGCGUAAGUGAUCAGGACCACUUUCUCUUAAGCGUCUGAUUCCUCAUUUAACAGGCUGAACACAGCAGUAUCACCAGAUGAAAUACGAUCAGAACAGAGGGGAGAGCAGAUGGAUUACGGCACAAACCAGCAAGGCAUUUCCCUUGCACUGCAUCUCUAGACAUUCUGCAUGCAAAGCAAGAACACAAAAAAGAUGCAGGGAAAACAGUUCAGGAAGUACAACCGAACUAUGGUCCUCAGCCAAAAGACUACUCACAUUUCCAGAGCUCUGUUAACUACGACAACGAGGAGGGUAAUUCGCAGCAGUUCCAGAAAAGACGAAGUCAUACAAUAUGGAUCAACACUGUGCCCUUCUUAGAAGCUAGAAGGAUGUACCAAGAUGCCUUCCAGAAACUAAGAACCAAACCCUCUCCUUCACAUCCCCUCUGUCACACCCCCUCAGGCCACGGAGGACUAACUAAAAGGAGGCCUUCACAAGAUGUCUGAGCUGAUGUAACAGCAAGCCAGAGCCACUCUGAAAAGAGCAGUACUGCCAGAAAGCAGCAUUCCCCUAUUCCCCAAAAUCCGUAGUCAUACGUUCCUGCAGCUCUUUCGCACUGACACCUGCUGAUUUGGUUGUAAGUCCUCAGCAAAUACCCAGUUCUGCUGAAUUUCCAUCAGCUCGGCUCGUGGGGGUGUCUGCCCCGGCACCAAGUGACAGCAGGAUAAGGAAGGGACAGCCUUUUUCCUUAGUGGCUUACUGCACAUCAAUUCCACAGUACCCAGAAAAAAAACACUUUCUAAAGCUACAGCUAGCCACAAAUUUGUCAGUUUAUUGACAAACCUAAUGUAUAAAUGGAUGGUUCUUCUCCUAGCAUAAGUAGUUUAGCGUGCGUAGCAUUCUACCAGUCCUGACCAGGACAUGAAGCUGCCAUGUACAUCUACACUCCUGAUUUUUUUUUUAUUAUUAUUAGUUUUUCCUUAGGAAAGGAAUAUAAGUUAGAGAUAGACCAUGAAAAUGAAUGCCUGGCCAGAAAGAACAAGAGGCAGCCUGACAGAGGAGGCAGCUGGUGGCAGUGAGCAUCAUCUUCUGUAGCAGCCAUCUCUAACUGCUCAUCCUUUUCCACUGCGUUUUCCUGCAGCAGCAGACGUGGUCGGUCUCUGCUUCAAAAGCUGCCAGCAAGCAGAAGACGACUUCCAGCUGCCCUUGAGAAACUGCUCUCUCCUCUCUCCCAUGGACUGGGCACAAACAGAAUAGCUCAGCCGGAAGGGACCAUUCUAAGACUCUCCAGUCCAAAAGUAAAACAAAGCCUCUUAAAACAGCAAAAUAAGGAUAACCUACAUAUAAGCACAGCAGCGUAAGAUAUAAGAUAGCGAUGUUUUCUCACUUCCCCCCAUCACCAUCUUUUUGCUGGUUUGUUCAUUAGAAGAGAAAGAUUACCCUAUAUAAUUCUAAACUCUCAAAAACAAUGUUGAUAUACUAAAAAUGGAAUAAUACAUCAAGUUCUAUACAUGAAGUUGUCAUUAAGUUGUGCACCGACCCCAGACCGUGAUUAUACCAAUUCCAUGCACCCUUCACGUAGUAAUCCUCCUGAAGGGGAUUUUACUAAACCACAGUGAACACUGAACUCUACAUUACAGAUUUGCUCAAACAGCUGGAACAAUCUAAAUCCAGAAUAAAAGAAGGGAUCACUGACAUGUAGUUUUGCUAUCUUAUGGUCAACAGGAAUGAAAUCACACACAGAAGAAUCCACUAAAAAGCAGUAUAAUAGAAAACACAGGAGAAACAGGUAGAUAGAUGUAACUGAAUCAAUACAACAGCCUAACUUCUUUCUUCUCAUUUAGCAUAAGUUUGAAGUAUGUCACCUAAAAAUACACAAAAGGAUCCUGUGUCACUCUCUCACAUUAAGAAAAUAGAAAGUUAUGACAGUAAAACCACCACUCAAAUCAGAAUUAGUAAAACUUGAGAAUUAGCUCCUUCUGUGACUAGCACGGCAAAGACUGAUUGUUUUUAGUAUAACUUAAUUUGCUCAGUUUUAAGUAAGAAUUUAUUAAAAGUAUUUUAGCAAAAAAGCAAAUAUUUUUAGCGUAAAAGCCUUGCUGUCUCAAAGAGCCUGAAGAAUAAUACUGAAAUUCUACUGAAAAAAUACCAAUGAUAUAUUUGAGCAUUAUUAUUCAAUAAAUUGGAAGCACCUUAGACACUAUCUUAAAGGCUUCCCAUUUUCCAUGUGGAAGAUACACAAACUGGAAGCAGAAGUCCAGAGAAACCAAAUGUUUUAAGACUUCUUUUUUUAAAUGUAAACUAGAACACAUCACAACUGAAUCCUUAUGUUGAAUAAAGUACUUUUUUCCAUCCAAAAAUCUGAUUUUUAUGAUUUUAAUGGUUUAAAGGUCUUUCAGUUUUUCAGCUUUAAAAGCAGGAAGUCUGGAAAGAAGUCAUCAUACAACGGUGCAUCGUAAGAAAGAGCACCAAAAAGAAAAAACAACCACUGAACCCCAAAUAAUUUCAAGGAACCCACAAAGAAAGCUCCACCAAACAACAGAAACAUUAAGUAACCAUAAAAAUAAGCUGGGACAUCUAGGAGAAUAGCGGGCUUUCAUUUCAACACAAGUGCACAAGCAAUGCACUUACAAAUUUGCACCUUAGAACGAAAAACAAUCCAGCCUCACGUUCACUGUUAUUGCACUCAUUCUGCUAACUCAGCAGCAAUAGCCAGGAAUGCCUAGGAGUCAGUGUCGUGUUCCUUCUUACUCGGUACGCUUGGAAAAGGUGCCCAAAAGGCUUUCUGUUUCUUGCCACCUCUUUUCAAAUCCUUGAAAGCUUACAUGUGUUUCAGUUCCAACUUGCACUGAAAAUAAUACCCUAGAAUUACUCUGAGCUUAAAAAUACUUGCAAAUCUGCUUGCUUUUAAAGCCUAUGUACUCCUUAAGGGUUUUUUUAGCCAGUUUUUGCAAUCAGGUUAAGACACCUUGACAGUUUUAUGAUUUUUAGAAGGUUAUGCAUUAUCACCAAAGCUUUAAGUUUUAGGAGAUGCACCCCAGGGCUUUUUACUGCAAUACAGUUCUACCAGCGUCCUUUUACCACUGCAGUUAGUGUUGUCACUUCACAUUGCAGCUGAAUUCCUCAAACACAGGAUGGAUAAGCCAACAAUUUAAAAGCAAGGUGACCUAUUAUUCUGUACUCCACCGACACAGAAACAGUGAAGCAGUUGAUAAAGAAUCCCAAAAAUGAAUUAAAGAAUAACAUCAAUUAGCUACCUUUGUGGAAAACAAUCUUGCCAAAGCAAAGUAGCAAUUACACACUUAUAACUUGAAAGGACCUGCAGCAAGGUUCAGUCUCAGAUUCUCUCCAAGCUGCCAGUACAAAGCUCUGGGGCUUUGUUUAAUUUGUUUGUUGUUUUUUUUUCCCCCGUCAGUACAGAAUAUCCCAAUCAGAAAGAGCAACAUGUGACUGUCAUUGAUACCUGUUGGCUAAAACCGUCAAAAAGCAAUCCUCUAAGGUAACUCUUUUCUAAGCGUAAAACAAACAAGCAUGUGUGCAGAUUAAGUCAUUCCGUAUGAACUGAUGCUGUUCAAUGCCAUUAAAUAAGUGAAACAAUUUUCUGCUUUGAAGACAAGCUGCCAUCGUCCAUCAAAGAAAUCUUAAGAGUUUUACAGAUUACUUGAUAAAAAACAACGGUGCAACAUAUACGCUUUAACAAGCUAAAAUUCAAUAUUUUCAUCGUCCACAAGAGGGAAAAAAGAUGUACUUUGGGAACUCGUGUAGCAGCAAACAGGUACUAGUAACCUUUAAAACUUCAAUAACUAACCAAAGAGCUUUCAACUGAAAGCAAAAUUUUACUGAAAGCUACUGAACCACUAAGACAUGCUCCAAAGAAUUCCUAUGACCACAGAACACAUGAAAAUAACACAAUAUAUGAAAACAGAAGUCUUUAAGAAAAUGAAAUAGUACCCUAUUACUUCAGAUUUCUGUUAGAGAAAAACGUUUUCAGAAAGUCCCCUCAAAUAUUAGGAGAGCCAGAGUAUUUUCAAGGAAUAGGAUUCCACAAAUCAGAGAGCGAACAGCAAAAACAUCUCCCCAAAAAUAAACUUGCAAGAGCUAAACAAGGAGGACAGCAAAGGGAAGAUAAUACUAGAAUUGCUUGAAGGAGACCUGGAAUGGGGAAAGGAAAAAACAAAAGUUCAAGAUGUCCAGAACUGUAAGGAAAAAAGCAGAGCCACUGAUCUGAGGAGACUACACAACCAUGAACCAUCAGAAUCAUGCCCCUUGCAUUAUUUCCUUUAAAAUACUUCUGCUGUUCUCUGCACUAUCUGAAUAUCCAUUGUCUAAUCACAGUUAACGCAGGCAACGUGGAAUAAAGGACUUCAGAAAGGGGUGGGCAAGGAGAAGUCAAGUUAUUUCCCUGAAGCAGCAAACUGCCUGCUGUCAUGGAACAGGCUGACGGCAUAGUCCUGCCCCUCGCCCUUGAGCUACCUCUGGUGCUGUAUAGUAAUAUAAUUUGCUGACUUAGCAAAAAAUCCAAUCACUCAGGAGUUGGCUAAAUUUUCUGCUGAGUUAACAAGACAAGUUGGCUCACUGUGAAGUCCGAGAAGCACCCCAGCUUGGCACAAGAACACACAAGUGGAAGCAGAAAGCAAGGACAUUCUCCUUUAGCAGCAGCAGGUGCUAGACGGACUCUGACAAUUUGUAACCGCACACUGGGUAGUGUAAAACAUGGGCUACUUCCCCCAAAUCGAAUAGGCUUCAUGAUGAGGACCCUCACUUAUCCUGGAGUACCAAGGCAGUUCACUGAAAGAGAAGCAAUGCUGUAAUAAAUCAGUGAGAACCUGAAACACAUUCUUCAAAUCUGUAAGAGGAUAAACAUGCCACCUUAAAGAAACAGGUGGUACGGACAGCAAAAUAAAAACUAAAGACCACUUAGUCCAGAUUUAGUUUCCAAAGGAAGAAGAAAAACAUCAGCACAUUAGCUAAAUGUCCAGAAAAUAAGAUGCUAAAAGAUGAGCAUGUAAUAAAUACGGACAUGUCAAAGAACAACCAAGCCACACAAACCUUUCUUUCCACACCAGGAUAGGCUUUUUCCAAAGACAGAAACAUGGCGUAGUAACAGCAAACAGUGAACAGUUUUCCCUCUUCUGUAUUCAAAUCAAUAUCAACACGAAAGGCCCUAUGCUGUGGUAUUCAGGAAGGAUCCCUCCUCUGAACACGACUGUUUGUGGUUUCACCCAGCAGGCAGCUCAGCACCACACAGCUCUUCACUCACCCCCUAACUGGGGUGGGUGGACAGGGGAGAGAAUCAAAAAAGAUAAAACCCGGGGGAUGAGAUGAAGACAGUUUAAUAGGGCAGAAACAAGGCACAAUGACAGUAAUAAAGAAAUGUACAAGACAAGUGACACACAAUGCAAGUGCUCACCACCCACUGAUCGAUGCCCAGCCAGACCCCAAGCCCCAGGCAGCAGCACCACCACCCCAGCCAACCCCCCCAAUUUAUUGUCUAGCAUGACACCAUGUGGUAUGGGACAUCCUUCUGGUCAGCCUGGGUCACCUGUCCUGCUUCUGUCCCCUCCCAGCUCCUUGUGCACCCCCAGCCUCCUUGCUGGCAGGGCAGCACGAGCAGCAAAGUCCUUGGCUCUGCGUGAGCCCUGCUCUGCCACAGCUAAAACAUCGGCGUGUUAUCAGAGUUAUUCUCAUCCUAAAUCCAAAACACAGCAAGGUAACAGCUACCAGAACAAAGCUACAGUACAGCCAGUACAGUUAUCCCUGACAAAACCAGGAGAGUAUCCACCCCUUAUUCCGUAUCAUCCAUGUCAUGCUUAGGUCCCGUGCUUUCCAACGCAUCCCACAGUCACCACCACCUUUUUUGCCUGUUGAUAGAUACGCACAGAUAUCACGCUCCCUUGGUCUAUGGGCCAUCCCCCUAAAGGGUCUGUUGGCUUCAUUUAGUUCAUAAAUUCAGGCUCCAUCUGUCAUAACAGUCCUUCAGGGCAGGAGAAAUGGCGUGUGGUAUAGGAUUGUCACAUGCUGAAGCCACGGCUGGUUCCAUCAAAAUCCAUUUUUCGUUAAUCUGCGUGAUUCCUACUGUAAUCCCAGUGAGGUGGCAUGUAGCCAACUCGGGAUGACAUACAUAACUGCACAGCAAUUAACAUCGUACAAAUCAAAUCAUUUGCUGCUCUUGCCCAACAUCAAAUCCCCCUGAGGUACACACCAGAAUUCCCCAUUCUUCCACAUUACCCACCACGUGCACCCAGGUCCCUGAGCAAAAGCAACCCCACGGAUGGGUCUGCCUUAGCCCAAGGCACGAGUAGCCCAGACUGCCUUCCCCAGCACAUCCUUUAUGUGCACUGCGGGGACUUGAUCCCCUUCUACAGUACGUAACAGGCUUGACUGGGCAGGGUCAGAUCCCCUAGUGCUGACUAGUGUGUAUCCCAAUGUUUGAGUGUCCCAGCACCCAUCACCUUCAGUGUAGUCUUCAACAGUCCGUUGUAUCGCUCGAUUUUCCUGGAGGCUGGUGCGUGACAGGGGAUGUGAUACACCCAUCCGAUGCCGUGCUUUUUGGCCCUGGUAUCUAUGAGAUUGUUUUGGACAUGAGUCCCACUGUCUGACUCAAUUGUUUCUGGGGCGCCACGUUGCUCAAAGACUUGUUUUUCAAGGCCCAGGAUGGUGGUCUGGGUGGUGGCAAGGGGCAUGGAUGUGUUUCAUUUCCAGCCGCCCAGUGGUUGCUUCCACCAUGUUAAAUACACGGUGCUAGCCAGGGCGGGUUUGUGGGACUGUGAUAUAAUCCACCUGCCAGGCCUCCCAUGCUGAUAUUCCAGCCACCACCCUCCAUACCAGAGGCUUUAACUGCUCGCCUCACUUAAUUGCGGCACGUUUCACAACCAUGGAUAACCUGUGCAAUAGCGCCCAUGGUCAGGCCCACCCCUCGAUCACGAGCCCAUCUGUAUGUUCCAUCUCUGCCUUGAUGGCCCGAGGUGUCACGGGCCCACUGAGCUGUAAAUAACUCACCUGUAUGUUGCCAGUCCGCAUCCACCUGAGCCACUUCAAUCUUAGCAGCCUGAUCCACCUGCUGGCUGUUUUUUGACAGCAGCCCAACUCUCGGGUACAUGAGCAUCUACAUGGCGUAUGUUUACAGACAGGUUCUCUGCAUCUUGCCACAACGCAGCAGCCCAGAUAGGUUUGCCCCUGCGCUGCCAGUUGCCCUGCUGCCGUUGCUGCAACCACCCCCCCAGGGCAUUUGCUACCAUCCAUGUGUCAGUACGGAGAUAGAGAACUGGCCCCUUGUGCCUUUCAGCAAUACCCAAAGCCAGCUGGAUGGCUCUCACUUCUGUAAAUUGGCUCCAUUCACCUUCUCCUUCAGCAGUCUGUGACACGUCCUGUAGGACUCCAUACAGCAGCCUUCCGCCUCCGACGCUUCCCCACAAUACGACAGCAGGGAACAGGGCACAUUGCUUCUCAUCUUCUGGUAGCUUGCUGUACAGUGGGGCUUCUUCAGCACGGGCCGCCACCUCCUCUGACGAUAUUCUGCAAUCUUUGCCUUCUGGCCAGUCCACGAUCACUCCCAAGAUCCCUGAGCAACUGGGGUUUCCUAUUCGAACCCAUUGUGUGAUCAGAGCGAAAGCAGAGAGCUGUAUCAGAUAUCUGUACAUGGAAUUGCAUAUGAAAAUAAAAAGCUUAGCAGGAGCUAAGGAGCUCACAAACUGCCCUGAAAAAGGCAGGAGUAGACAACCAAGAGCAGUCACUUGAAGCAAUCCUCUCAUGCUCCUUGACAAUAACAUGCCAGAGGGACACUGCCCUCUUUCAGUACCCUAUUUUACAAAAAAAAAAAAGGCUGACUGAAUAGUGUAAAGGGAGAGGAUUAAGACUGAUAAGUGUACGACACAUCGCGGUAGGCUAAAAUAGCCAACAUGACUUGACCUAGAGAGGAGGUAAGGGAGCUGGUAAGUGAUCUUCAGACACAGAACACUAGGAAAAAAGCAUAUGCUGUUUGCCGUGUCCACUGCUGAUCAGAAUAAAAAGCCUAGCAGGAGGAUUGAGAUAAGAACAAGAAAAGACUGUUCAACAGAUUCCCCUGGGAAACAUGAAAUCACCCAGAGACCUCCAGCAAGCACAUCAGACACGCAUUAAUCAGAUAAGGUUUAAAAUACUCAAGUCUUGGCUUGAAACACUGGAAUUGUUUUGUAUAGCUCAGUUUCUUCUACUCCACAUGUACCAGUAAGUUGUCUCUGAUUUUUCCUGCGUUUCAGCCUUGUCCCACUCUGCUAAGCAUUGUUACUGUCAAAUCUUGAAGAGUGUGAGCUGUGGGGUUUUAGCAAGACACUAAAAAUGUACACUUAGCCAGCAUGAAGACACAGUAAUAGUUUCAAAAUGUGCCUCAAGAGCACAUAAAAUGCUUAUCUGAAGUGAUGUAAGCUGCAAGCAGGUGGCAAAAGCUGAUUCUUUGUUCUCUGAAAUGCUCGUAAGAACUUGACAAGUAAGAUUCACAGCUGUGAGGUAACUGAUGCAGCUCUGCAACCUACAAAGAUGAAUGAACCUAGGGAUGUACCUACAGCACAGCCUGAAAGAGCGACUUACAGGAUACAAGGACACCCAUAAUAAUUCUAUUUUGCCUAGCUGUAGGAACAGUCUGAGACUGUUCACAGCAACUGUUCACUCUUGGAGACUGUUCACAGCAACAGAACUGUUACAUCAACUAAAAAAAAUAAGAAUUUAUUCAUGAGCACUUAAACAUAGGUGCAAGACCCGUGACACGCAACUCCCCAGUUCCCCUCUCCCCAAAUUUAAAAGCUAACUCUGAUGAGAUGAUCAAUUCCAGCUGAAGCUCCCCUCUCCUGUACCCACUGCAACUUCUCUCACAUGUUUUUCCCCAUUUCUAAUCUCCCACCAAGUGGAAACAUGUUACACUUAUAAGCAGAAAAGAAGAAAAGCUGAGAGGGCUUUUUCAAGUCUGUAACUGUGAGGCCAGUAUUUCCAUUACAGUUAGCAGGACCCCAGCUAUUUUAAUCCCAUUAUCAGAACUCACCGUGGAAUCUGCCUGAUAAACAACCACCAAAACUCAUCUGCCACAAAGCACGAAGUGGAAGCUUACCGAAUAGCAUUGAAAUAAUCAAGUAGAAAAAAAACACACACCUCUGAUACAAUACGAUACCUUCUGCUUCAGGCUUAGCUCACUCCUUUCCAUUGACUUUUUGGAAACGUACAUUUUUAGAUCUUUUUAAAUAGAUUUUAGGUUUGUCAGACUGAUUGCACACACUACAAAGAUCUCAAAAAUGCUCAAGAACUUCAUCUCCUAAAGUGAGCCUCGUUUCAGUGUUUUAGCUGAAAUUAGCAAAGCAAGAGCUGUGUUUAAGGCUAAAGAAGAUUGAGAUAGUCAAAGCAAACCAGAUAAACUGAAGUGUAGCAUACAACUCCUAGACACUGGACACGCAGCUCAGAACAACGUGGAGCACAGCGGUACAGAGCUUUUCCAGUGCAAGAACAGAAAACUACAUUUAAAGUGUCAUGGAAACACACUGCAACAAUGAGUAAGAAUCCCUUCAAGAUCCACAGAGAACUCAGCAAAAACAGAAAGUAUUAUCAAUCUGCAUAAUUAAGUAACAAAUUACAUAACCAUUUACUACUAUUUUUUUAAUAAAGUUAAAGGCAGAAAACAG